UACGGAGGGUGCAAGCGUUAUCCGGAUUCACUGGGUUUAAAGGGUGCGUAGGUGGGCUAGUAAGUCCGUGGUGAAAUCUCCAAGCUUAACUUGGAAACUGCCGUGGAUACUAUUAGUCUUGAAUAUUGUGGAGGUAAGCGGAAUAUGUCAUGUAGCGGUGAAAUGCUUAGAUAUGACAUAGAACACCAAUUGCGAAGGCAGCUCACUACACAAUCAUUGACUCUGAGGCACGAAAGCGUGGGAUCAAACAGG
rnacentral:rRNA from 1 species